rnacentral:lncRNA from 1 species
CCUAACACCAUCUUCUCCUGAGUGGAAGCUUGUCUGGGCAUCUCUUCUAGAUUGGACACUCUGGGAGAGAAGGGUCACACCAACCUGUUCAGCUUUGUAUUCCCAUUGACCAGAACAAUGCUAAGCACACACUGAAGCUAGAGUAAGUAUCUGCUAAGUGAACAGCUUUUUCU